rnacentral:rRNA from 1 species
UUGUCCAGGGGGCCGCCUUCGCCACCGGUAUUCCUCCAGAUCUCUACGCAUUUCACCGCUACACCUGGAAUUCUACCCCCCUCUACAAGACUCUAGCCUGCCAGUUUCGGAUGCAGUUCCCAGGUUGAGCCCGGGGAUUUCACAUCCGACUUGACAGACCGCCUGCGUGCGCUUUACGCCCAGUAAUUCCGAUUAACGCUUGCACCCUCCGUAUUACCGCGGCUGCUGGCACGGAGUUAGCCGGUGCUUCUUCUGCGAGUAACGUCAAUUGCUGCGGUUAUUAACCACAACACCUUCCUCCUCGCUGAAAGUACUUUACAACCCGAAGGCCUUCUUCAUACACGCGGCAUGGCUGCAUCAGGCUUGCGCCCAUUGUGCAAUAUUCCCCACUGCUGCCUCCCGUAGGAGUCUGGACCGUGUCUCAGUUCCAGUGUGGCUGGUCAUCCUCUCAGACCAGCUAGGGAUCGUCGCCUAGGUGAGCCGUUACCCCACCUACUAGCUAAUCCCAUCUGGGCACAUCCGAUGGCAAGAGGCCCGAAGGUCCCCCUCUUUGGUCUUGCGACGUUAUGCGGUAUUAGCUACCGUUUCCAGUAGUUAUCCCCCUCCAUCGGGCAGUUUCCCAGACAUUACUCACCCGUCCGCCACUCGUCACCCAAGGAGCAAGCUCCUCUGUGCUACCGUUCGACUUGCAUGUGUUAGGCCUGCCGCC